ensembl:rRNA 5S_rRNA 5S ribosomal RNA
GUCUACGGCCAUCCCACCCUGAACACGCCCUAUCUCGUCUGAUCUCGGAAGCUAAGCCAGGGUAGGGCCUGAUUAGUACUUGGAUGGGAGAAAAGAAAGAAAAGGACAGGACCGAGUUGUGGUGC